GAUAUAGACUGACAGGAAUUGUGUGAAGGAAAAUAGCUACCCCGACCUCCGUGGCAGAUCAGCCCAGAACUGAGCGUGAAAUGGCUUCCAGGAACUAACAAGAAAAAAAAAAAUGCCUCUCAAGGAAGCCCAUCUUUCGUUCCAGGAUGUGGGACUUGCAUGGCUGUUGCCUAAGGCAGAAGAGAACUAGGCGAGCAAAGCAGCGAGGGACAAAAGCCUUUCCAAGAACCAGAUGUUCUGUUCAAGGCAGUUUGUGUUUGCCUGGCCCCAGCAUUGCCUUGAGAUCAUCAUUGCCUGCUAUUUGCCAGGAUAGCAGUGUCAGUCUAAGCUUCUAGUGCCAUGAGACGCUGGAAAAGUUAAGGCAAUGGAGACACCCAUCAUACACGAGGAAAUGACAGGCGCAGACGAGCUACCUGAAGAUACUCUUAAGCCCUGACCUACUCAGGCUGUUCAGUGCCUAUUUCACACAAAGGGUACAACUAGGCGGAGGGGCCAGGGGUGUAGACAUCCUGCUGGCCUGUUCCCUUUCCAGUGCUGUGCCCUGGGAACCUGUGCUCCAGCCUAGAGAAGAGGGUUUCUUUGUGUAAUUCAUCUUCCCAAGGGCAGCUGCACUUUUUGACAGUGACUGUAUGCCUCCAGAGGAGCCUAGUUGUGUAACAAAAACCUUAGCCUCAUUAAGCAACAACUCCAUUAUAAUCCUGGAAUCAGAUGCUUAGGUAGACAGUUCUACUCGUCCCACUUGUGUCCUUUCAUGCCAGUGCCUCACAGAGGUGGAAGAAUGUUGGAUAUCUGGCACCUCUGUGUCCCUUAAUAACGCUCUUCCAUCGAUGGUGAGAGUGCUUCCUUAUGGCUUUGUGGACCGUCUCCUCCAUCUGGAGGUCAUUCUGACCCACAAUCAGGGCAGCUCAGGAAUCUAAAGAGGAGGGAGCAGAAGCCCUCAAGUCUUCGAAAGCAUCCCUCUUUGUCUGUAUUCCAUCCACCAAGCAAGCACAAGCCCGGUGUGGAUUUGAGAGAGGAGGCAAGCCAGGGAGCAGUUGUACGCGCACGGCCUGAUGGACUUACUCAGCGCCAUUGAGAUAGACUCGCCCUGCAAAGACUGGGGUCCCCAGGAAUGCAUGGUAUUGUUCAAACUGAUUACAGUGACAAAAACGUAAUGAAGGCUGCCUGAUCAAGCCAAUCCUGACAGACUCAACUGCCAAGGAACCAGAAUGCUUUAUUAUAGAAGCAGGUAGAAUUGAGAGAAGAUGCCUGGAAACCUUAUAAACCAGAAAACAGGACUUCUGCUCUGAGCUCAACAUGCUCCCUUGCAGACUCACCUUAGAGGAUCAACCAGAACGGGACGAGACAGCAGCUGUCUCCCAACACACCAGAAGAGGGCGUCAGAUCUCAUUACAGAUGGUUGUGAGACACCAUGUGGUUGCUGGAAUUUGAACUCAGGACCUUGAGAAGAGCAGUCUGUGCUCCUAACCACGGAGCCAUCUCUCCAGCCCCUGCUCUCUGCUCCUUAACUGCAGAUGCUCCUGCUGCAGUGACUUCCCUACACUGAUGGACUGGAACCUGGAACUGUGAGCUGAACUAUAUUCUCAGCAACAAGAGAAACUCCGCACAGCUCCCAGGAAGAUUUAUUGCAUCUUUCCAAAUGUGUGUGUGUGUAUGUGUGUGUGUGUGUGUGUGUGUGUGUGUGUGUGUGUGUGUGUGUGUGUUUGGCCUUGUGCAUGUAAAUGCAAUGCCCAGAGACCAGAGACAUUGGAUCCCCCUGGAGCAGCCUGACAAGGAUGCUGGGAACUGAAUCUGGAUCCUCGGUAAGAGCAGCACACACACUUAACCGCUGAGGCUUCUGUCCAGCCCCGACUAAUAUUUAGCACAACUGUUGAAAUGCUAGGGUUAAGUCAGUCAUUUAAAUAUUUGGGUUUUACAAAUUCCUUCUGUUUGCUGUGUGUCUGACUGUUGUUUUUGUUUGUUUGUUUGUUUUGCUUCGCUUUUCCAGGCCUUCUAUUGGCUGCUUGGCCUUCCAUGUAUAUCCAUAAAGCUGUUGCAGUUGUAUCCCAUUGUAGUUUUCUAGUGCAUUAUCAUAUCCAUAAACAACUUCUUACAACCUACUGCUGUCAUUUCGCCCUUUAUAUCCUUUGGUCCAUUGGGUGCUAGAGGUAGAAUCCAAGGCUUUAUGGGUCCUAGAUACACUGUCUACCAAUGAGCCACACCAUCACCAAACUCCUGUCACUUAAAAUGUGUCAUCUCCUCAAGUCAUUGCUCCACAUGCAUUGAGCACCUUAGACGACCAUCUGAUCAUCCUACUUUAACCAUAAAGUGUGAGUAAGAGAACUCAUUCGGUGAAGAACCUGUUACAUUUAUGUCUGCUUACCCACCUCAUUGUGUUUUCCUCUUAGAAGCAUCAGCUAUCACUUUCUGCAGCUCUGCAGAGCUCCCUUUAGCCAUUCUUUAAAGGUAGGUCUGCCAAGGAGGGGGAUUCUGCAGGUGUCCAGGCAGGGAAGUGAACCCACGAAGAGAUGACAAUGAGAACUUGGUUUCAGAUUGACUUUGUCAACCUGGAUCAGACUUCAGGGAGUCUAAAGCCAGGCAGGGCAUUGUCAGCAUAUUUAAAACACAGUGCAAUCUGGAAAAAAUGUCCAGGCAACAGUCAUUCCCAUUCCAGGUUUCCAGGCAACAAUCAUUCCAAUUCCAGGUGCUCAAUAAAGCUUAAGGUGUGACUACUUAGAAACUCAUUUGCAAAGUACAUAUGACCAAGACGGCGGGUUCUAUGGGUAAAGGGCCUAGAAUCCAGCUUGCUCUCUGACUGAGUUAGCUUAGAGGUCAGCAGGCUAUAAAGUCCAUGGGACAUCCUCCCCUAAGGAUGUGUUCUGUUAACUGAGAGCUAGGGAGCAAGUCUAGGAUAAACAUUGUAGGGGAUUUAGGUGAGGUCUGCCUCUAUAACAAAAGCUGGGUGAGGCCAGCCUCCACAGAUAGGCAUAGGGUCACCAGAUAGGCAUUAGCAAUAUCUACUCCCAGCCCUCUGGGUGGGAAGAAAAGAUAUUUUUAUCUCCUCCAUUGUGGAGAGGCCUCUGUGUGUUUAACAUUCUUGGUUCGCCAGGGCUCUGUGGCCACAGGAUUUUUGUGCCCCAACAUGCCAGCAGCAACUUCUUUCAUUUCCCUUUACUUGGGGUGUCCUCUUUGUCUUUAAUUCCAUAACAACAAUUUGACUUGUGUGUGGUCUGGGGGUCUUGGUUCUUCUAGCAACCUGAGGGGUGCCAUGUCCUCCUACCCAUCAUUUCAGACGAGACUCCUACCAGUUUCUAAUUGUUCUUUCAUAGGGACUUGCCCCCUUUCUCUUAACUGCUUUAAAGAUUUUUAAGUUGGUUUUGGUUUGAGAGGUUUAAUUAUGUGUCUUAUGGACUUCUUAGAGCUUCUAUUUGAGAGUCAUUCCUAUUCUUAGAUCUGUAGACUUACAUCUUUCACCAAGGAAAUAUCCAGUCAUUCGGUGUCUGGUUCAAAUCUUGUCCUCACCUCCUAGAAACUUUAUGGUAUCAAUUCUUUUUCUAUACAGCUUCUCCUUAUCUUCAGAGCUAUGUUCCAAGACUUACAGCAUUGCUGCUUAAAACUACAGUUUAUAUACUGUUUACUCUCCUACACAUGCAUUCCCAUGAUAAAGCUUAAUUUAUGAAUAAAUUAAAUCGUUCAUUAGGCACAAUGAGGUCAAUAAAAGAACUAACAGCAAAAUCGGACAAUUAUAACAAUAUUGUACAAUACAAGUUUAUACAUUGGAGCCAUUAUUAAUUAAUGUAAUGGUUAGCUGAACAUGACACUGCAGUACCAUGACAGUUCAUCCAAUGUCUGCUAAGUGACUAAUGCACAUGGAGUAUAUGACAAGGGAUGCUUUGUUUCCUGCUUGAGCUGGACCAAGGCAGCGUGCAGUUUUAUUUUGCCACUUGGAAUGACAUACAGUUCAAAAGUUAUAAACUGGUUUUGUUUUGUUUGUUUUGUUUGAGAAAGAGUUUUUCUGUGUAGCUCUGGCUGUUCUGGAACUCAAUCUAUAGACCAAGCUCUCCUCGAACUCACAGAGAUCAACCUGCCUCUGCCUCUCAAGUGCUGGGAAUAAAGGUCGUGCCACUGCACCUGGCUGGGAACUAUUUCUUUAAUGUUUCCCAAACAUUUUCCCACUGCCCUUGACCAUGGAUAGCUGAAACCGUGGACAGUGAGAUCCCAGGGAGCAAUUACAUUGUACCACAAGUCUCAGCUUAGUUUCCCUUUGCAGUCUGUUUUUUUCUAUUAUUCAGUCUGAAUAACUUCCUUCAGUCUGUCUUUAGGUUGAAAGACUCCUCUGUCACCACAUGAGAACAACUGAAAUCGGUAAGCCUCGCGCGUGGUGUGACUAAGUCUGUCUGGUAAGCUUUGAAGUUGUAAUUCUUGCGUUUUCCAGUUUUAUAAGUGCCCCCUCCCCCCACCCUUUCAGAGCUCCUUUUCCUUUGUUGAGAUGUUUCUUUUUAAAAAUAUUUCAACAGAAUUUGUAAAUGACCACUGAUGCACUUUUAUGAUGGGUACUUUAAAAUCCUUCCCAUAUCAUCCCAACAUGUUAGUUGAUUCAUGUUAGUGCUGGCAUAGGUUGUCAUCGCUAAUGCAAUUUGUGGUUUUCCUGGUUCUGGGUUUGAUGAAUGAUUCUCUGCCGCACCCUUCCUAUUUUGGUUUUUGGACGAGAGGACCUUUAAUCCUCCUUAAAUGUCUUAUUUCAGCAUGCUCUCUCCCAGGUUAGCGUGCACUUCUGUCUCCCUUUGUGGGCUUUAGCUCUGACAAUAGCUUGUGUUUUGAGCUCUUGCAGCACCAUCCUGGGCUGCUUUGUUUUUCUGAUACUGCUGUGUCACCUCCUGUCCCCCUUCCUCCCUUCUGUCCCUGCUUUCAUCAUCUGUGACAGCAGAUGGCACAUGUGUCUUUGGCAUUGUCUAGGUGGCCUUUGGGAGAGAAAGGGAAGAAGCCCUAGUCUCUUUACCCCACCGUGAAGACACUGAGCUUGGCUGGUGGCACUGCCUUAGGUCUAUCUGGUUGUAGAGUAGGGUCUGGGACUUGCCAAGCUGCCACUGCUGCUGAGGACAGUGGCCUCAGGUAGUGCCACAGCUAGGGCUGUAGCUGGGGAACAGUUCUAUGUCCUUCCAUGGCUCGGUCCUGGGAACCUGACUAGGGGUGAUGGGAGAAUGAAGAGAGGACAAGGACACACAGACACAGGUACAGAAAACUUGAGGUCGGGUGGGCUGUGCUGAUGGAGAGACAACAGCAUGGAUGCUCAGCAUAUUUAUUACAUACAGCUGAGCAGGGAGCAGGUUUAGUGUAUACAGUAAGCAAGGAGGCAAGAGUUAUACGGAAGAUGAGCAAGGGGGCAUUUGAACAAGGGGUAGGGCUAGUCCAUACAGCUGAACAAGGAGGCAGGGCUAGGUAAUCUCUGUAGGAGCAGUCUCUGCAACAGAACAGCCUUCAGCCCGUAAACAAGUGAAAGAAGAAGGCUGGACCUCCCUACGCUCACCAACGGCAUUCACACUUGGGCCAGAGAAAGGCUUUGCCAUCUCUCUAACCUCACCCAGGGAAGGCUUUGCCAUGGGUCUAGGCAUUGGGGUGAAUAUACAUUCACACGAGACUUAAUCACUCCCAACAGAACAGCUGGUACAAUGAGGGAUUUCACCACUCUGCUGAUGCAAGUCCAUUGUAUAGUACUGUCUGUAGGGCAGCAUGUGCAUUUUGAAGGUGUGUGUGUGUGUGUGUGUGUGUGUGUGUGUGUGUGUUUGUGUGUGUGUGUGUGUGUGUGUGAUAUGUGUGUGCAUGGCUGUGUGUGCACAGAGAUCAGAGGAGGAUGUCAGAUGUCCCUCAAUCAUUCUCAGCCUUAAUCCAUUGAGACAAGGCCUGUCACUGAACCAGGAGCUAAGCAAAUGCCAGCAAGCCCUGCUGGUCCUUAUGCUGUGUUUCUGCCCCGCUAAAGUGCGGGUAUUAUAGGUUCUUGGAUGGCCAUACCUAGCUAUUUACAUGGGUGCUGGGGAUUCAAACCCAGAUCUCCAUGCUGACUCACUGAGACAUUUCCCUGGACCCAACAUACUGAAGUUUGAAGUUUAAAUCUGUUUUUUUGUUGUUGUUGUUGUUUUUUUUUUUUAGCUUUGCUUAUAUGAUUUGGAGUCGAAGACAAAUGUGACUCAAGUGUCCCCCUUUUCAUUCUCUCUCUUUGGGGGAGGGUUGCUCCCCUUUCUUAAUUCUUUUGUUGUAUUUUUCAUGGGGCUUUUAAUUUGCAGAAUCCUCUGUGCAGAUGUGCAGGUGACACCCAGGCCUGCCAUGAGAACCAAGGGCCCCACACAGAGGCAUGCACCUGGCCCUUUCUGCUGUGCAUCUGUGCUCAUAGCCUGCUCUUCACCCCAGUGAUGCUUACUAAAGUUCUGGCCUUUCUCCUCCUUUUAAAGUCAGACGAGGAAUCUGAGUUUUGUUUCUUUUAUUCUUUAUUUUUAUUGGAAUUUUAAAGCAGCCCUUAUUGAGGUCACAUUUGGUUUGUGUUUAUUUCAUUUUUAUGAAAUUUUCCUCCUACUCUCUUGGUAACUAUGCCUUCCUCGUUUUCUUUCUACAAGUGAAAGAAAAAGUCAUCUCUCUUGUUUUCAAUUGUCUUCAUUUUAUAAAACUUCUCGAGACUAUUUUUUUCCCUUGAUGUUUUGUUUUUUGUUUUGGAGUACUCAAGAACUUUGAACAUCCAAUAUUCUAAUUGGCAUUACUUCCAGAGAAUUACUGUUUCACUUUUUUUUUAUUUUAAAGAAAGUAGUUAUUUAUGCCAGGCAUGGUAGUGCCUACCUUUUGUCCCAGCCCUGUCCCAGGCAGAGAUAAGUGGAUCUCUGCAAGUUAAAGGCCAGCCUGAUCUACAGAGUGAGUUCCAGGACAGCCAGGGCUACACAGGAGAAAUCCUGUCUCCAACAAAGAAGGAGAUGGAGUGGGGAGGAAGGGGAUGGCGAGGGGAGGGGAGGGGAGAAGGUUGGGAGGAGGGGAGGAAGAAGAGUGAGGAGGAAGAGGAGAAGGAGGAAAGACGAAGAAAAAUACAAAAACAGACAGACAGAAGUUAUUUGUGAGUUUUGAACUUCUGACUGGUGUUAGAAUUAUCAUAAGUUCCAAGAGGGUAAGGAUGAAACAGGGUGAGGCGAAGCUUUGUAUUAAUUUCUUAGUUACUGCCUCAUGGUAAGGAGAUAAUAUACUCCUACGUUUUUAAAUUCCCUUAGAUGUCCCUAUGGCUGAGUAAAGUGAUUUUGGUAAAUGCUUCAUGCAUAUUUGAAGAGAUGAUCAUCUCAAGGGAUUCACUGUGUUAUACAGACAAUAAAGCAAAGAACUUUCAUUGAAGCUUUGAGACAAGGACUUGUAUGUAAUGGUUGUGUCCUGCUCUUCCACUCUCUGGGCUCUGGAAAGUCUUUCUUGUAGGGGGCUACCCUGCACAUCAUGGAAUGCUUAGCAUCCUUGGCCUCUAACCUACUAGAUGACAGUAACAUCUCUGCCAGUUCUUUCAUCCAGAAAUAAACAGCCCUCUGGGUACAGAAUUAUCCCAACUUGGGAACCAGCGCUGCUCUAAGGUUUUAUAUCUAUGAAUUGAAAUUUAAUCCACAUCAUAAAUAUAUAUCAUACAUUGUGAUUUUGCAAAUAACAGUCUAUAAACAGAACAAAUAUUCAUAAAUAGAAGUCCAAGGAAGUUAAAUGUCAUCUAAGUAUCCUUUGUAGUUAUGAAUAGAACCAAAAACAAACAAAAAAUCAAACCCAGGGAGCUGGGGGAGUGGGUAAGAAGACUUGUUGUGCAAGCAUGGGGACCUGAGUUCAAAUCCCAAGAGUACACAUAAAUAACCUAGCAUGACUGCAGACAUAGGUCUGUAAGGCCGGAGCUGAAGGAGGGAGAGUCAGGAAGAUUGCUCAGGCCUGCUCCCUGCCAGCCUGGCUCCAGGUUCAGUGUGAGAGACCCUGUCUUGGGGGAUAUGGCAGAGUGUGAUAGAACGGACACUCGGUAUCCUCUUCUGGUCUCCACAUGUAUCCACAGCACACACAUGCAUCAUACACACACAUAAACACACAGAGGAAAAAACCAGAAUCAACUUACAUGCAGUUCUGUACAUAGUGUAACAUGAAUACAAAGAAAUAUGGAGCAGAUUAACUGCUUAACGUAUUUGCGAUGAGUCUCAGAACCAACAGGAGAGAGAAAUUAAGGCGCAGACAUCUUUUAGCUAAACAAAGCACUCAGCGUCACUUCUCAUCUCCCCAUGGAUUCUAAUUAGCUUUCCUUGACAUUUAUUCUCCCACUUCCGGAACUGUCCCCGUGACUGUGAAGGUCAUAGCUUUGAGUCUCCUUUUCUUGGCUUGCCUUUUUCAGGAAGCUGGUUUCCCUCGAGUGUUAAUGGCUGGCUCUCUUCCUCCUGUUCUUAUUUACGUGGAAGAAAGGAGCAGGAUGUUGGGGUAGGACUUUUUGACUGACGAUGUCAUCACGACACAGACAGGGAUUACAGACACCCUUCUCCCAAGCUGGCACUGCUGGUCAUUGCCAGGAAGCUGGGAAGGAUGCCAGAAUACACCCGGGGUUGGAGGUCUCGAGCACCUCCAAGGAUACUGCCAUAGCCCUAUUUGCCCACUCCCCAUUACUGUGGGAUACUUUACCUGCUGGCAUCCCCUCCCCCUUAUGUCAGGGGACCCUAGGACCUUUAUACCUGGGCUUUCAUUUCUGUAAGGUUUUGAGGAAACAGCAGAAAGCCAAUGCACACAGCUAAGUCAGUUGAUACUUGAGAGUUCGUUUCUAACCUCCAGAUAUUUCUCUUCUUUCUUGCCCAUGCUUGUUAAAUGUACAUGUGUGCAAAAGUCAUCCCUCCAUAGAGAUUCUGGACAGGUUACAUGCCACCCCUCAAGAUACCCAACCCCAAGAAUGCUCCAAACUUUUAAUAAAAUGACAUCUAACUUCACAUAUGUGUAUACAUUUACUCAUGCCUAUGACACCAUAGAUUUUAAGUUAUCUCUAGACUGUUUACAAUACCCAAUACAUUGUCGUUGCUGUGUAACUGAUUGCUGUAGUGUGUUAUUUAGAGAAUAAUGACAAUAAAAAUAAGGCUUGGAGCACUA